rnacentral:rRNA from 1 species
AGAGUUUGAUCCUGGCUCAGGACGAACGCUGGCGGCGCGCCUAACACAUGCAAGUCGAACGAGAGAGAAGGAGCUUGCUUCUUCGAUUGAGUGGCGAACGGGUGAGUAACGCGUGAGGAACCUGCCUCAAAGAGGGGGACAACAGUUGGAAACGACUGCUAAUACCGCAUAAGCCCACGGGUCGGCAUCGACCUGAGGGAAAAGGAGUGAUCCGCUUUGAGAUGGCCUCGCGUCUGAUUAGCUAGUUGGUGAGAUAACAGCCCACCAAGGCGACGAUCAGUAGCCGACCUGAGAGGGUGACCGGCCACAUUGGGACUGAGACACGGCCCAGACUCCUACGGGAGGCAGCA